CAUGCUUCUGGACUCGCAGUCAAAUGUCCUCGUGAGCCAGUUAUCUUCUUUAUCUCGGCCUCAGCAUUCACAGCUGGACAGCUUUUGGUGAAGAAUGAUUCUCCUUAUUGCAGUGUGUCCCUUCCGCCUUGGCAAAGACCCAGCGCAUUCUUCCACCUGAUAGUUUGAUGAAAAACCAAGAGACCCUUGUUGAAGGUCGACGGCACGAAGUUUUGAGUACGAGGUGGCAGGCCCUAUUGUCUGGGAGUUUUUCAAAGAAGAUGGUGAAGGAUUGGCGAGACUGGAAGAUGACCCUUCAGGUUUCACUGCAGAGAAACAGAUGGGCAGAAAAACAUCAAGAACCAA